GACGAACGCUGGCGGCGUGCUUAACACAUGCAAGUCGAACGAAGUGGCGAACGGGUGAGUAACGCGUAAUCAACCUGCCCUUCAGAGGGGGACAACAGUUGGAAACGACUGCUAAUACCGCAUACUGAAGGAGGGGUAUGGGGUUGAUUAGCUAGUCGGUGGGGUAACGGCCCACCAAGGCGAGGAUCAGUAGCCGGUCUGAGAGGAUGAACAGCCACAUUGGGACUGAGACACGGCCCAGACUCCUACGGGAGGCAGCAGUGGGGAAUCUUCGACAAUGGGCGAAAGUCUGACCGAGCAACGCCGCGUGAGUGAAGAAGGUUUUCGGAUCGUAAAACUCUGUUGUUAGGGAGCGGUAUCUAACCAGAAAGCCACGGCUAACUACGUGCCAGCAGACGCGGUAAUAC
rnacentral:rRNA from 1 species